rnacentral:rRNA from 1 species
GAGUCGAGUUGUUUGGGAAUGCUGCUCAAAAUGGGAGGUAAAMCCCUUCUAAAGCUAAAUACUGGCCAGAGACCGAUAGCGCACAAGUAGAGUGAUCGAAAGAUGAAAAGCACUUUGAAAAGAGAGUUAAACAGCACGUGAAAUUGUUGAAAGGGAAGCGCUUGCGACCAGACUUGCGCCCGUCGGAUCAGCCGUCCCUCGUGGGCGGCGCACUCCGGCGGGCUCAGGCCAGCAUCGGUUCGCCUGGCGGGAGAAAGGCGGCGGGAAUGUGGCUCUGCGGAGUGUUAUAGCCCGCCGCGUAAUACCACCGGGCGGACCGAGGACCGCGCGUAUGCAAGGAUGCUGGCGUAAUGGUCGUCAGCGACCCGUCUUGAAACACGGACCA